rnacentral:rRNA from 1 species
UAGGCUUGAACCUGAAUCGUCCAGCAUGGAGUAAUAGAAGAGACUGGGUUCCAUCUAUUGGUGUUAUAGCGCUUAGUAACGAUUAAUAGGGAUAGUUGGGGCAUUGUAUUUAAUUGUCAGAAGUGAAAUUCUAUGAUUUAUUAUGCGAAAGCAUUUGCCAAGGAUCUUUUCAUUAAUUAAGAACGAAAGCUAAGGGAUCAAAGAAGAUAAGAUACCGUCGAAGUCUUCACCAUAAACUAUGCCGACUAGAGAUUUAAGGUGUCAUUAA